rnacentral:tRNA from 1 species
CAGGGAAUAGUUUAAAUAGAAUGUCAGCUUUGGGUGCUGAUGGUGGGGGUUCGUUCCUCUUCCUUGA